GCACCCAUGGCCGAGUGGGUAACGCGAGCGGCUACCAAUCUGACGGCGGGGGUUCGACCCCCUUUCGGCGUA